AGCGUACACGGUGGAUGCCCUGGCAGUCAGAGGCGAUGAAGGACGUGCUAAUCUGCGAUAAGCGUCGGUAAGGUGAUAUGAACCGUUAUAACCGGCGAUUUCCGAAUGGGGAAACCCAGUGUGUUUCGACACACUAUCAUUAACUGAAUCCAUAGGUUAAUGAGGCGAACCGGGGGAACUGAAACAUCUAAGUACCCCGAGGAAAAGAAAUCAACCGAGAUUCCCCCAGUAGCGGCGAGCGAACGGGGAGCAGCCCAGAGCCUGAAUCAGUGUGUGUGUUAGUGGAAGCGUCUGGAAAGGCGCGCGAUACAGGGUGACAGCCCCGUACACAAAAAUGCACAUAUUGUGAGCUCGAUGAGUAGGGCGGGACACGUGGUAUCCUGUCUGAAUAUGGGGGGACCAUCCUCCAAGGCUAAAUACUCCUGACUGACCGAUAGUGAACCAGUACCGUGAGGGAAAGGCGAAAAGAACCCCGGCGAGGGGAGUGAAAAAGAACCUGAAACCGUGUACGUACAAGCAGUGGGAGCACGCUUAGGCGUGUGACUGCGUACCUUUUGUAUAAUGGGUCAGCGACUUAUAUUCUGUAGCAAGGUUAACCGAAUAGGGGAGCCGAAGGGAAACCGAGUCUUAACUGGGCGUUAAGUUGCAGGGUAUAGACCCGAAACCCGGUGAUCUAGCCAUGGGCAGGUUGAAGGUUGGGUAACACUAACUGGAGGACCGAACCGACUAAUGUUGAAAAAUUAGCGGAUGACUUGUGGCUGGGGGUGAAAGGCCAAUCAAACCGGGAGAUAGCUGGUUCUCCCCGAAAGCUAUUUAGGUAGCGCCUCGUGAAUUCAUCUCCGGGGGUAGAGCACUGUUUCGGCAAGGGGGUCAUCCCGACUUACCAACCCGAUGCAAACUGCGAAUACCGGAGAAUGUUAUCACGGGAGACACACGGCGGGUGCUAACGUCCGUCGUGAAGAGGGAAACAACCCAGACCGCCAGCUAAGGUCCCAAAGUCAUGGUUAAGUGGGAAACGAUGUGGGAAGGCCCAGACAGCCAGGAUGUUGGCUUAGAAGCAGCCAUCAUUUAAAGAAAGCGUAAUAGCUCACUGGUCGAGUCGGCCUGCGCGGAAGAUGUAACGGGGCUAAACCAUGCACCGAAGCUGCGGCAGCGACGCUUAUGCGUUGUUGGGUAGGGGAGCGUUCUGUAAGCCUGUGAAGGUGUGCUGUGAGGCAUGCUGGAGGUAUCAGAAGUGCGAAUGCUGACAUAAGUAACGAUAAAGCGGGUGAAAAGCCCGCUCGCCGGAAGACCAAGGGUUCCUGUCCAACGUUAAUCGGGGCAGGGUGAGUCGACCCCUAAGGCGAGGCCGAAAGGCGUAGUCGAUGGGAAACAGGUUAAUAUUCCUGUACUUGGUGUUACUGCGAAGGGGGGACGGAGAAGGCUAUGUUGGCCGGGCGACGGUUGUCCCGGUUUAAGCGUGUAGGCUGGUUUUCCAGGCAAAUCCGGAAAAUCAAGGCUGAGGCGUGAUGACGAGGCACUACGGUGCUGAAGCAACAAAUGCCCUGCUUCCAGGAAAAGCCUCUAAGCAUCAGGUAACAUCAAAUCGUACCCCAAACCGACACAGGUGGUCAGGUAGAGAAUACCAAGGCGCUUGAGAGAACUCGGGUGAAGGAACUAGGCAAAAUGGUGCCGUAACUUCGGGAGAAGGCACGCUGAUAUGUAGGUGAAGUCCCUUGCGGAUGGAGCUGAAAUCAGUCGAAGAUACCAGCUGGCUGCAACUGUUUAUUAAAAACACAGCACUGUGCAAACACGAAAGUGGACGUAUACGGUGUGACGCCUGCCCGGUGCCGGAAGGUUAAUUGAUGGGGUCAGCGCAAGCGAAGCUCUUGAUCGAAGCCCCGGUAAACGGCGGCCGUAACUAUAACGGUCCUAAGGUAGCGAAAUUCCUUGUCGGGUAAGUUCCGACCUGCACGAAUGGCGUAAUGAUGGCCAGGCUGUCUCCACCCGAGACUCAGUGAAAUUGAACUCGCUGUGAAGAUGCAGUGUACCCGCGGCAAGACGGAAAGACCCCGUGAACCUUUACUAUAGCUUGACACUGAACAUUGAGCCUUGAUGUGUAGGAUAGGUGGGAGGCUUGGAAGUGUGGACGCCAGUCUGCAUGGAGCCGACCUUGAAAUACCACCCUUUAAUGUUUGAUGUUCUAACGUUGACCCGUAAUCCGGGUUGCGGACAGUGUCUGGUGGGUAGUUUGACUGGGGCGGUCUCCUCCUAAAGAGUAACGGAGGAGCACGAAGGUUGGCUAAUCCUGGUCGGACAUCAGGAGGUUAGUGCAAUGGCAUAAGCCAGCUUGACUGCGAGCGUGACGGCGCGAGCAGGUGCGAAAGCAGGUCAUAGUGAUCCGGUGGUUCUGAAUGGAAGGGCCAUCGCUCAACGGAUAAAAGGUACUCCGGGGAUAACAGGCUGAUACCGCCCAAGAGUUCAUAUCGACGGCGGUGUUUGGCACCUCGAUGUCGGCUCAUCACAUCCUGGGGCUGAAGUAGGUCCCAAGGGUAUGGCUGUUCGCCAUUUAAAGUGGUACGCGAGCUGGGUUUAGAACGUCGUGAGACAGUUCGGUCCCUAUCUGCCGUGGGCGCUGGAGAACUGAGGGGGGCUGCUCCUAGUACGAGAGGACCGGAGUGGACGCAUCACUGGUGUUCGGGUUGUCAUGCCAAUGGCACUGCCCGGUAGCUAAAUGCGGAAGAGAUAAGUGCUGAAAGCAUCUAAGCACGAAACUUGCCCCGAGAUGAGUUCUCCCUGACUCCUUGA
rnacentral:rRNA from 1 species